GUACCUACGGGACGCAGCAGUAGGGAAUUUUGCGCAAUGGGCGAAAGCCUGACGCAGCAACGCCGCGUGAUCGAGACGCCCUUCGGGGUGUAAAGAUCUGUCAGUGGGGACGAAACUUGACGGUACCCACAGAGGAAGCACCGGCUAACUCCGUGCCAGCAGCCGCGGUAAUACGGAGGAUGCGAGCGUUAUCCGGAUUUAUUGGGUUUAAAGGGUGCGUAGGCGGAAUGCCAAGUCAGCGGUAAAAUCGCGGGGCUCAACCUCGCUCCGCCGUUGAAACUGGCGUUCUUGAGUGGGCGAGAAGU
rnacentral:rRNA from 1 species